rnacentral:rRNA from 1 species
UACGUAGGCAGCGAGCGUUGUUCGGAGUUACUGGGCGUAAAGGGUGUGUAGGCGGUUGUUUAAGUUUGGUGGGAAAUCUCCCGGCUCAACUGGGAGGGUGCGCCGAAUACUGAAUGACUUCGAGUGUGGGAGAGGUGAGUGGAAUUCCUGGUGUAGCGGUGAAAUGCGUAGAUAUCAGGAGGAACACCGGUGGUGUAGACGGCUCACUGGACCAUAACUGACGCUGAGACACGAAAGCCAGGGGAGCAAACGGG